CAGCACCUCAAGUGGUCAGGAUGAUUAUUGGGCCUAAAGCAUCCGUAGCCGGCGCUGUAAGUUUUCGGUUAAAUCUGUACGCUCAACGUACAGGCUGCCGGGAAUACUGCAGAGCUAGGGAGUGGGAGAGGUAGACGGUACUCGGUAGGAAGGGGUAAAAUCCUUUGAUCUAUUGAUGACCACCUGUGGCGAAGGCGGUCUACCAGAACACGUCCGACGGUGAGGGAUAAAAGCUGGGGGAGCAAACCGGAUUAGAUACCCGAGUAGUCC
rnacentral:rRNA from 1 species